GGUUCGGUUUGUCUUUUGGGGUUCUUCUCGCCUUCGAAAGCGCCGUCCUUCUUCAGUGUUUUCACAUUUUCACGUACAGUUCAAUCGUGAGGUUCAGCCUAGUGAGUUCUGUGUAGUUAAGUCGGAAUAUUUCGUAUAGUUCUCGUCGACUGUCGUCUGACAUUUGUUCUUCUAUUCCGAAACGCUGCAUUGAAAUACAAAAAUAAUACAAACUAGAAUAUUCAACAAAACAAAAAACCAAGGAAACGAAAAACCAAUUAAAAUUUUAACAAAAUAAUAACUCGCUUCAAAAUAUAUUGCAAAUAUAUCAACAAAUUUAAUCAAAUCAAAUUCACCAACAAAUCGAAAACAAACUCUAUUAAUUCGUUUACUCAAAAAUCCAAAAACACAAAACAACCAAAAACCGAUUCAAAUAUAUAACUGUUAAAUCUAAACGAGCAGGCGAUCUACUGGGAAGCGAGAGAGGAAGGGCAUCAGCAGCAGCACUACUACACGCGUGUGUGUUUAAAUACUGGAAAAUACAGAUAAGAUAAAUUAUUAUAGACACUCACGAGUACAUUUAGAGCAGACCAAACCCAGAGACAGACAACCGCAGAGAAUCAAAAGCACUCCAAGAGCAAAUCAAUAAAACAAAAACAAAACCCAAACAACAACAAAAAAAACAACAACAGAAACAACAGAAACAAAGAGAAAAAGCAACUCAAAAAACAAAAUUUUAAAAAAAGUGUUACCAAAAAAAACUUAAAAAAAAAAGAAAAUUAUUUAAAAGACAAAACCCGUACUCGUAACGGUGCAGACAACUGAAAAUACCCAGUGAAAAUUCAGAAAAGCGUUGACCAUUUUUUCUCGCAAAGGCGCCACGUCCAAGAGCAAAUCGUUCCAUAUGGUUCAUAUUAUUGAAUUGGUCGGCCAGCCGAAGGUUGAGUUUGCUCAACAAGUUACUAUGAACCGUGCUUUACAGCUGAAGCCAGCUGAAAAUGAAAGUCGCAGCGCAAACUUCGUGACAAGCUGGAAAAUGGCAGCAUUCAACUAAACACAACAGCCGAUACGAUACCGCUUUCCGAGAAGAUGGUCGAUGACAGGGCUAGGAGAGUCGACCCAGCAGUAACUAAUAAAUUAACCAAGUGAUUGAAUAGAGUCAAGAGGAGAGAGAUCAGUGAGGAGUUGAGUCCAUAAGUUGAGCUCUAAAAGCAUCAAAGUUUUUACUGAUAUCAACGUAGUGCAAACCGUAGGCAAACGAUCAUUACCAAACCUACCUGUAGUUCAAAAAGACAGAGCUUUGACCUCUCAAAUCCUUCAGUUUAAGCCGGCAAAGUGCGGACCUCUAGCACGACAGCAGGGCUAAAAAAGCUAAACGCAUUUAAUAUUUAAAAAUAGAGACACAAAACACUACAAAGGGUAGAGGUUCAAGAGCAAAAACCAGACUAAAGCCAGACCCAACAAAAAGUAAGUGCACAAGGCUUCAUCCUUACAACAGAACACGUGAUCCACGUGGCGGCUGCGCAUUCGUCAAAUUCGGAACGCAACAGGAGGCUCAGUCAGCAAUAGCCAAUCUACACGGAAGUCAAACUAUGCCGGGUGCAUCCUCCAGCCUGGUCGUCAAAUACGCCGACACAGAGAAGGAACGACAAAUCAGGCGCAUGCAACAAAUGGCCGGUCAUAUGAACCUGCUGAAUCCGUUUGUCUUUAAUCAGUUCAGCCCGUACGGCGCCUACGCUCAGCAACAGCAGCAAGCCGCUCUGAUGGCUGCCGCUGCCACCGCGCCUGGCUCGGCAGCCGCCUACAUGAACCCCAUGGCCGCCCUGGCAACGCAAAUACCUCAUGGCUUGAACGGCACCGGACAGCCGCCCUCUUUGCCCUCGCCGACCAUGCCCAACUUCAGCAUGGGCGCCAACACGCCCAACGGCCAGCCCGGUGGAGCUGCCGCGGCUGCAGCAGCUGCUGCGGCGGACGGGGUCUUCACGAACGGCAUUCCACAAACGGCAUUCCCAGGACAUCCGCUGCAUUUGACUAUACCACCACAAGGUCUGCCAAACGGCGAUGCUGCUACUCUGCAACAUGCCUUCCCUGGGCUGCCACCGUUUCCAGGAGUUGAUUUUCUGAUGUUCCCAGGAUGCUCGAUAUCCGGUCCAGAGGGCUGCAAUCUCUUCAUCUACCAUUUGCCCCAAGAGUUUGGCGAUGCGGAGUUAAUGCAAAUGUUCCUGCCCUUUGGCAAUGUGAUCAGCUCCAAGGUCUUCAUCGAUCGUGCUACAAACCAGAGCAAAUGCUUCGGUUUCGUGUCCUUCGAUAAUCCAGCCAGCGCUCAAGCGGCCAUUCAGGCCAUGAAUGGCUUCCAGAUUGGCAUGAAAAGACUGAAAGUUCAAUUGAAGCGGCCAAAGGAUGCCAGUCGACCCUAUUAACAAUCGGAGUUCCUUAAGUGUAAUUCGCAACAACUACAACUACUUCCUGGAGCACCAACAACAGGAGUAGUCGCAGGAGCAGCCAUGCCACAAACUACAACACAAUUUGCAACAGCAGCAGCAGCAGCAGCAACAGCAUCCACAGCAACAGCAACAGCCACAGCAACAACCACAGUGCACCACUAUAGUCACAGAAGCAGCUUUAGGCCACCAUUUCCCAAUGACAACUCCACUCAUAUGCCGGUAUCAAUUCGCCAGCUGGCGCGAAAUGGUGACCUACUGCUAUCGCUAUAUAGUACCCCGCCAGAAACACUUCCUCCCCAGCCCCAAAAAGCAACCAACAACAGCAACAUCAGCAAGGACAACAACAACAGCACCAACCAACAACAACAGCACCAACAAACACCCACCAGCAGCACCACACCAAACAACAAUAGCAAGCACUGCAGGCAGCAGAAUGGACCGAUUCCCAUCCACAUCCAACUCAACCGGACAUGGCAUCCAAUAGCAACCAGAAGGAACUAUCCAAAGUGGAAUAAGUCGAAAAACUGUUCAAGUGGCAGCAACAAAAGCGAAAGACCUAAAGCCACCAGGACCCCACAAACAGCAACCAUGACAACUGCGACAACAAUAACGAGCGACUACUGAAAGGAUGGUCUUCACCAUGCUAAGUGAAAUGAUUAUAAAAAUUAAACACAUGCAAAAUCGGUGUGUAAAAAAACCUAAAAUAAUAGUAAACAACCAAA
rnacentral:misc_RNA from 1 species